rnacentral:rRNA from 1 species
UGGGGAAUUUUGGACAAUGGGGGAAACCCUGAUCCAGCCAUCCCGCGUGUGCGAUGAAGGCCUUCGGGUUGUAAAGCACUUUUGGCAGGAAAGAAACGUCGCGGGUUAAUACCCCGCGAAACUGACGGUACCUGCAGAAUAAGCACCGGCUAACUACGUGCCAGCAGCCGCGGUAAUACGUAGGGUGCAAGCGUUAAUCGGAAUUACUGGGCGUAAAGCGUGCGCAGGCGGUUCGGAAAGAAAGAUGUGAAAUCCCAGAGCUUAACUUUGGAACUGCAUUUUUAACUACCGGGCUAGAGUGUGUCAGAGGGAGGUGGAAUUCCGCGUGUAGCAGUGAAAUGCGUAGAUAUGCGGAGGAACACCGAUGGCGAAGGCAGCCUCCUGGGAUAACACUGACGCUCAUGCACGAAAGCGUGGGGAGCAAA